CGGCGCGGCAGGGGGCGCGGUUACCCGUGGUUUUUCGCGUUGGACGACGGGCUCUGAGGGCCAAGUUCUUGUCACGAAUUUAGUUUGUUUCAGAGCGGCAGGACUCGUAGCUAGAGAACGAGGACCCACGACGCGUACGCGUUACAGUCCUGUUUCCCUAGAAACGGAGCUGCCGGCGCGGAGGUGGCUUUGAGAUUCUGCGAAAGACCUGACUGCUCUUCAACAAUUAUUGUGUUGCACCCUCCCAGGCGCCCAGUCCAAACCCCGUCAGAAUAACCACCCGGGACAGCGGUGGUCGAAGUAACUACGCCUAACUUUUCGCUUUCCAUCGUGUCCCCUCCAUAAAAACACUGCUGGGCCCCCGGAAUCCAAAGGCGAAGGAGGCACACUCCCUGCCUUAGACUUGUUGAGAGUUUUAUAGGGGCAGUGCAUAACGUACAUGAUGGUGUAUGACGAUUCGGAUGGUAGUACGAGUCAUAAACUCAAAUUCCAACAGCAUCCAGCCAGGACUUUUAAAAUUCCUUGCAACGCAAGUCUACUGGUGACAAAUUCCCUCAAAUUUUGUUUGCCUGAGAAAGUCUUUCGCCCUCACUGUUGAAGGAUAAUUUCACUGGAUACAGAAUUCUAGAUGGAGUCUUACUCUGUCGGCUCACUGCAACCUCCACCUCCGGAGUUAAAUUGAUUCUCCUGCCUCAGCCUCCCGAGUAGUUGGGAUUACAGGUGACUGACACCAUGCCUGGCUAAUCUUUGUAUUUUUAGUAGAGACAGAGUUUUGCCAUAUUGGCCAGGCUGGUCUUGAAUUGCUGACCUUGGGAUCUCCCCGCCUCGGCCUCCCAAAGUGCCAGGAUUACAGGCCUGAGCCACUGCACCCAGCCAAUAUUUUAUUUUUUCUUGCUAUGGAGUCUCACUCUAUCACCCAGGUGGGAGUGCAGUGGCGUGAUCUUGGCUCACUGCAACCUUUGCCUCCUGGGCUCAAAUGAUCCUCUAUCCUCAGCCUCCUGAGUAGCUGGGACUACAGGCGUAUGCCGUCAUGUUUGGCUAACUGGCUAACACCACCUCUAUCUGGUUCCAAAACAUUUUCACCACUCUAAAAGGAAAUCCCAUACUUGCUAAGCCAUCAAUUCCCAUUCUCCCCUCUCUCUGCCCCUGCUAACCACAAAUAUGCUUUCUGUCUCUGUGGGUUUACCUGUUAUGGAUAUUUCAUGUAGAUGGAUCCAUAUGAUAUGUGACCUUUUUUGUCUUUCUUCUUUCUCUUAACACAAUGUUUUGAGAGUCAUCCAUAUUGUAGCAUGUUUCAGUAACUUUCUUCCUUUUUAUGGCUGAAUAAUAUUCCAUGAUAUGUCUAUAUUACAAUCUGUUUAUCCAUUCUUCUAUUGAUAAGACAUCUGGCUGUUUCCACUUUUUUGCUAUUGUGAAUAGUGCUGCUGUGAACUUGUGUGUACACCAAACUCUUUUUAAUAUCUAGUCAAAUAUGGCUCAAAUAUAGUUUAUGGCCAGAAUGCUUAUAAAUACUUUUGGAAGCAGUUAACUAUCUUCCUGAGCUGGAUUCAAUCAAGACCACUACACUGUUGUCUAAUCUCUGACUUUGUUUAUGUCUUUGUUUCUAGUUUUACUACUCAAUAAAUUGAGAAAGUAUAUAGAGUAUCUCCUAAUCCUUGCUGUGUUCCUGUAACCAUAUAAGUAUAAAACUAAAAUCUGACAAAGUCUUUAUAGUCAAUGUCACAUUCAGUCACUUAAGGAACCAUUAACAUCAGAAAGAGAAAAGACCGUGUUUUACAAAAUGUUUCCAACUGAUCAAUUACUUACUGGGAAGAAAAGUAGGGUGAAAGUGCCAGGCUAUUCAGAUCAGUUAGGGUAACAAAGAUGUAAAUAUUUUUCUUCUUUGAAUUGCAAUGGUGGGGAUCAUUUCUCUUCUUCAGUAUGUA
rnacentral:lncRNA from 1 species